GGACCUGCCCCUGAUGCGACUGAUCGGUAAAAUGUCAGAAGAAACUUUCUUUGCAGACAGCGAAGUUUUAAAAGGUUUUAGGUUCUGGGUCAGGAGAGCUGGUUUAUUACUGGAAUAACUUCAAGAAGAGCUGUGCAGGCCCAUAUAGAUGUUGUUUUGUGACUGUGAAUCAGAGGAAAGGAUGACACCCUUCCGCAGGCCCACAUGCCGACGCAACUUCACAAAUUAAAAGCCGGAAACAAUGAGGUCAGCUGCAUAUUUAUUUUAUUGAAGCUAAGAUGAAUAAUAAAUGAUGUCUCUGUGUAGUCAAAGCUUUCCGGGGUCUCUUAUGACGAGCCAUAGAGGGACUCAUCAGGAUUGACCCAGGCUAAAGCAACGAUGAAACAAUGAAAUUGUGUUUGAAAUGCUAAUAUAGGGCUGAUGGGAGAACAACAGGAGGAGUUGCAGUCAGAAGUCAGUCGGUACAAACGCCCGUAAGAGUCUCUAAUGUGCAGCAGAUCAUCAAUCGCCAGCUUCUGUUGUUCAUCAGCUGGUAGCCGGAGACAUAAAAGACUGCUUUCGUUUUACCACCCCCACGGUUUCAGACUUUGAGCGCCUGACCACGUGGAAUGUUCUCUUAUGGUCGGGGGGGUGAGAGUGGGUUUGGUGACGUCUGUUCCGGGGGAGGGGACAGAGAACAAAGCUUCGGGACGUCACCACCGUGAGCCAAUCCUGUUUGUCUGAGGACCUUCUGAUCUGCAUGUUUGGCCGUUUCUGGGCAGACAGAUGUAGUUUACACUAAAUAUCUUGUUUUUAGAGGUUUAAUGAUUAAUGUGAGGCUUGGAUAUGUUAUGGAGUGUGUAACAGGUUUGUAUCAGGAAUGUGAAAGCCAAAGACAAGUACAUGUGGUUUGUCCGCUUACCAUCUAUUAGAAG